GUUCUAUUGGUUUUUAUGUUAAUUUUCUGCACAUUCCAUCUUUUUUUAUUAGUAUAUUCUUGAAAUAUAGUCUGAAAUUAUAAAAUAUAAUGUCUCUCUGCUUUGUUCUUUUUCCUCAAGAUUGCUUUGGCUAUUCAAAGUUUAUUGUAGUUUUUUUGUUUUGUUUUGUUUUUUGUUUUGAGAUGGAGUUUCACUCUUGUUGCCCAGGUUGGAGUGCAAAGGCGCCAUCUUGGCUCAUCGUAACCUCUGCCUCCAGCGAUUCUCCUAUGUCAGCCUCCCGAGUAGCUGAGACUACAGGCAUGCACCACCAUGAGAGUUUUUAGUAAAAACUCAUGUUUUUAUAAAAAGUUUUAUUAAAAAAUUGGAUUUUUAGUAUACUUGCCUUGGCCUCCCAAAGUGUUGGGAUUACAGGCGUGAGCCAC
rnacentral:lncRNA from 10 species